GAUGAACGCUGGCGGCGUGCUUAACACAUGCAAGUCGAACGAUGAAGCCCAGCUUGCUGGGUGGAUUAGUGGCGAACGGGUGAGUAACACGUGAGUAACCUGCCCUUAACUCUGGGAUAAGCCUGGUCAACUGGGUCUAAUACCGGAUAGGAGCGUCCACCGCAUGGUGGGUGUUGGAAAGAUUGAUCGGUUUUGGGUGGCCUCGCGGCCUAUCAGCUUGUUGGUGAGGUAAUGGCUGACCAAGGCGACGGCGGGUAGCCGGCCUGAGAAGGGGAACGGCCACAAUGGGCCUGCGACAGGGACCAGACGCCUACGGGAGGCAGCAGUGGGGAAUAUUGCACAAUGGGCGCAAGCCUGAUGCAGCGACGCCGCGUGAGGGAUGACGGCCUUCGGGUUGUAAACCUCUUUCAGUAGGGAAGAAGCGAAAGUGACGGUACCUGCAGAAGAAGCACCGGCUAACUACGUG
rnacentral:rRNA from 1 species